UUUUGGCUUCUGUAAUGGCACUGCACAAGGAAGAUGGAAUCACAAGCUGUGAAAACUCCUUUCCACUGUGAAACUCCUUCUUCAAAGGCAGUCAGUGUGAGAAAUGGGUUGUAAUCAACAAGCCAUAGGCGUGUCAAAAUACAUCUGAUUGUGAAGAAGCUAUAUCAGCUAAACUCAUUGAAACACCCAAGAGAUUGAUGAUGCUUUUGUGGGGCUGUUCUUGUUGGCCUGGACCCUGCAGCUCUGGCUGCAAAGGAUGGAUUUUGCUUGGACAUCCCUGCCCUUAUUCUCCCAUUCACUAAACACAGCAAGAGCCUGGCCAAGCUGUGUGGAAGCAGCUAUUCCAAAGAGACUUCCACUCAGCUUAACACCAAACUACCAUUUAGUUUGAAAGUGGAAUCUGAACAGGCUUGUCUGGAGCAUUCAGAGCUGCAUCCCACAGGAGUGCAUGGUCAGCAGCACCAUCUGGACUUUUUCUGUAAUGCAUCUUGAUAAGAAUUCCAUAUUAUUACGUGUGAUGGGAAGAAACAAUGACCAGGAGUCUCUGGAGUGACAGAAAACAUGACAUAGACUACAGUUCCCUUGAAGGUCUGUGAUGGUAACAUCAGUAUUUUUACCUGCGAUCUCCUCAGGAAACAAAAGUAUCCCAGAUGCCAACACACCUGGUAACACAUUCAUAGAGCUGCCCUCUCACAGCCACAUAGGGGGAAAAAUGAAGAAAAGAAGGGAAAUGGCUUGUUUGGAAGCACAUUGCAGGACAGCACCCAGUGACAGUCCCACUCUAUCACUUGGGAGCUGGAGCUGGCUUUGGAAAGCAUAAAUGAUCUCAGGAAAAAAAGAACCCAGAGAAGUGCCUUCUGACUCCUGCCUUUCCAUGCAAGAAGAGUGUGAUGGAAAGAGAAAAGAUUUGAAGUGGCACGGAAGCAAAUGUACAAAAAUGCUGAUGGAGAUGACACGACUCAACCCUUCACCUAAAACCUGGAUGAUGUCUUGGGGGCUGUAGCAUUAAGGAGGAGAUUUCCUGCCUGUAAAAUUGCAAUGGAGCACCAUAAAAAUUAUUUCAGUGCUUUAAACCCCUUCUGGAAUUGUAUAGUGCUGAGGACUCUUUUUAAGCAAAAGCACGCUGUGAUGCUGUCAAAGUAACAUAACAUGGAACCUGACCAUGGCAUAAAACCACAGAAUUGGUACUGGACUUCCUACAGAGGUGGAAACCCAGCACAACUUCACUGGUGCCAUUUGUUUCUUGUGAGGCACCUGAUCAGACUGCCUAUUAAAUCAUAGCCAUGGGAGUGGUUUGAAAUUUCAAGACUGAGAACUGGAGCACAUCCUGUACACGAUUUGUCCAGUUGGAGCAGGACGUGGAAAGGACAGCACUGGGAAGCUUUCUCACAUGCAAGUGUGUCUGCACAACCUCUUGGGCUACAGAAACAUCCUGAGUCCCACAUGCAUCUCACCUGGCAAGAAAACCAUGAUAUUGGAGCAAAUCCUGGGAGCAAAUAUG